GACGUGCCCUCCACGUUCGGCUGCGCUGUGUGUGUGCGCGAUGCGAGUGCACCUUAUUGCCAUGUUCAGCCGACAAGACUCGUUGAAUUCACGCUCCGUCAAAAAGGACAGACGAAACAAGGGCGUCGCCUUCGCUCCUAAAAUGAAUCAACAAAAGCAAGUGGACAUGAAACGAUUCGAUUGAAACGUCAUUGCGCUCGUUGGCGGCAAUUCACGCGGCAUUCAGAUGUGGGUCGCAAACGAAGAUGAACUCGCCAUUUUGACGCCUUUUUUUUUAAAUCUUUCUUGACCAGUUGGCCGUCGGAUAAACUGCACCGACGCCGACGCAUAUAGAAUACGAAAAAUAAUAAACAACUGGCCAGGCGAAAGUUGG